UACAAACAAACAUACAUACAUAGACUGCUAAAAUCAUAACCCUUCCUUUUGGAUUUGCCGUAGUCAAAUAUUCAGAUAUUUAAUUUACAAUGAGUAUAAUCAUUUUGCCAUGUAUAAGUCAACUGCUUAUAACAUAAAAUACCGGAGCAUAAAACUUAAUUUGAUGCGCAUUUGUUUUAUCAAGCAAGCAAAUAGUAUAUAAGUUGAGACAUUACUCCAUUAACUCUAACUAAUUCCCUCUCUUCAACUGCCAUAUAAUAGACAACUCAAUAAUAAUGUAAAUUCCUUAUCUUUUAGACAAAUGCAAACGGAAUGCCCACCUGGACAACGAUGGAUUCCAAAUAUCGGCUGUGAGCCUUGGUAGUACCAGCGCUGAGUCGAUCACCCUAGCACUAUUAUCCGUUCACCUAUAUAUUCAGCAUAGGGAUAGGCAAAAAACUGAAAUAAAUUUUUGUCAAAGUGCA